CUUGUAUUGCUGUUCCACAUCCAUCAGCACAUACUUCCAUGAAAUGAAAUAUGAGGUAUUACUUUCGGAGCAACCUACAUGUAUGUGACCCAAGACAAUUCCUCUUCACUCAAUGCAGCCCAGGCAAACCGAAGUGUUGGACACUCAUGCUAUACACUGUAUCUACCACAGCUACUUCCCUCAGGCACUGAGUAACUUUCUCUAUGGUGGUCCAUUUGCCUGGGUUACGUAUCAGGGGCAGAGACAUGAGGUGUCUCUGUGAAGAAUUCAUUAAAAAUAUAUAUAUCUUUUAAAUUAUGUUUGUGGAUGAACACAUAAUGUUUAUGUGACUGUUAAACAAACAAACAUUGAAACUGAGGAAAUGAGUGCCCC
ensembl:lncRNA